UGCCAGCCGCCGCGGUAAUACGGAUGGUGCGAGCGUUAAUCGGAAUUACUGGGCGUAAAGCGCGCGUAGGCGGUUUUGUAAGUCAGAUGUGAAAGCCCAGGGCUCAACCUUGGAACUGCAUUUGAUACUGCAUGACUAGAGUGCGAUAGAGGGGGGUAGAAUUCCACGUGUAGCAGUGAAAUGCGUAGAUAUGUGGAGGAAUACCGAUGGCGAAGGCAGCCCCCUGGGAUAAUACUGACGCUCAGACACGAAAGCGUGGGGAGCAAACAGGAUUAGAUA
rnacentral:rRNA from 1 species